ensembl:lncRNA novel transcript
CAUGCUGGGACAGCCAUUCAUUCUGCCACCCAGGAUGUGAGGGAGCUUCUAAGAGGUAUUGAUAAAGGAACAGGGCCUUCCAUUGCUCUUUUCUAGGUGGGCAGCCUAUAGGAAAGGGGAUUUACAACAGUGGAAAGGAGCAGUAAAAGUGCUGUGGUUAACGCGAAUCACAUGCCCCCAGAACAGCCUGUGGUGAUGUGAUUGCCCACAAGGUCCUGACGAGUCCUCUGUAAACAAAAUUCAAAGAAGAGGACUUGCUCAACACACCUGCCACAACUCACCUGCAGGGUCUAUCAAACUGAGUUCCUGAUUCAGUAAAUCCAGGGAGGGGACUGACGAUUUGAAUUUCUAACAAGCUCCAGGUGAACUGCUCUCUGAAGAUCAGAAUUUGAGAAAGACUAAAUUAGCCAGUUCAGUGGUUUCCAAACUGGAGUCUUUUAUCUACCCAGAGAAUUUUUUGUUUGUUUAAAUGCAGAUUCCCAAGUCUACCCUGAGUUUACAGAAUCAAAAUUUCCAGGGUGCAAGACUUAAUCACUUGCACUGCUUUUAAGCUCAGCAAGUAUAUCAGUCCAUUUUGUAUAUCAGUCCAUUUUGAUACUGCUAUGAAGAACUGCCCGCAACUAGGUAAUUUAUGAAGGAAAGAGGUUUAAUGGACUCACAGUUCAACAUGGCUGGGGAGGCCUCAAGAAAAGCAGUCAUGGCAGAAAAGGAAGCAAGACACCUUCCUCACAAGGAACAGGAAAGGAAAGCGCCCAGUGAAGGGGGAAGAGCCUCUUAUACAAUCAUCAGAUCUCGCGAGAACUCACUCACUAGAAACUUGCCAGGAAACCACCUCCAUGAUUCAAUUACUUCCACCUGGUCUCUCCCUUGACAUGUGGGAAUUAUGAGGAAGGCAAUUCAAGAUGAAAUAUUGGGUGGAGACACAGCCAAACAUCACCUUGGGGCACAGGCUCAAAAACAGUCCACAGGAUACCAUCACUGAGCUGGAAUACAACAUGGGGCAUCUGAAAAGAAGAACCAAAAUAGAUGCCUGGUCUUCAACUAAAUUACCUGUUCAUCUUUUUCCAGGAAACCUUGGAACACCAAGGAAUCAGCAGUCAAACGAGCUCAGUCUCUCAGAACACAUGUGGGGGAAUUGAGUAUUUCAACUUUUAGGUAGACAGUUUCUACAAGCUAAAUAGUGGAACGAAAGGAGCCAAAUAAAGAAGUUAUAAAA